rnacentral:lncRNA from 1 species
UCCCCCCUUGGCCGCCGCCCCCCUGCCCAUCUCCUCCUCUCUCAAUUCUUGCAGCCACCAAACCCUAGCCGCCCCCCCUCUCAAUCCCCUCCUCCCAAGGUGCCAAUCCUUGCCGCUCGGAUCAUCGUCGUCGUGGUGCGAGUCUUCAAUCGUUUUGGUGGAGGGAAGAAGGGAGGAAGGAAAGGGGGAGAAUCCAAGGUGAUUUUUGUGUUCAUCCCUUGUUCAUUUGCGCUGCAAUUUAAUUGAUUAAAGGUUGCGUUUGCGAUUGGGUAGAGGGGGCUGUCCAGAAUUUUAGGUGGUGGGUGAACAGCAGUAGUCUAGCAGUUUCUGUGUUUUUUUCGUGAGGAAUUAAGGGAAAUCAGUUUGGGGAUCAUGUAGAACUUUACCUUACCUUUCCAACGAGUAUUUAUGCGCCCAAUUUGGAGUUAUAAAUUGAAAGUUAUCACCGUUUGAAUCCGGGUAUGUGGCUGUCCAAAAAAACAGAUUUUCAGGGGGGAUGAACAGCAGCAGUAUUAGCAGUUUCUGGGGAUUUUUUCGGGAGUAAUUAGUGUUAAUCAGUAUGAGAAUCAUGUAGGGCUUUAUGUUAUCUUUCCAACAAGUACUUAUGCGCUCGAUUCGGAGUUAUAAUUCAGGAGAUAUCGUUGUUUGAAUCCGGUUAUGUUGCUGUCCAAAAAAACAGAUUUUUCAGGUGGGUGAACAGCAGUGGUAUUAGCAGUUUCUGGGGAUUUUUUCGGGAGUAAUUAGUGUUAAUAAGUAUGAGAAUCAUAUAGGGCUUUAUGUUAUCUUUCCAACAAGUACUUAUGCGCUCGAUUCGGAGUUAUAAUUCAGGAGAUAUCGUUGUUUGAAUCCGGUUAUGUUGCUGUCCAAAAAAACAGAUUUUUCAGGUGGGUGAACAGCAGUGGUAUUAGCAGUUUCUGGGGAUUUUUCGUGGGUAAUUAGUGUUAACCAGUAUGGUAAUCAUGUAGGGAUUUGUCUUAUCUUUCCAAUGAGUACUUAUGCGCUUGAUUUGGAAUUAUAUUUUAAAAGAUAUCGCUGUUUGAAUCUGGGUAUGUCGCUGUCCAAAAGACAAAGAAAAACAGAUUACAGGGUUCAUCUUGUGGACUGUUUUGGACUAAUUAGAUAUUGGAAUUUAAUUAUAAAUUGUAUACAAAACUUGUGGGGAAUUUUAUGUAGAUGCCUCUGGAGUUUUUGUUUGUUACCACUGCUGUCAUAAUUUUAAAGUUAUGAAAUUAUUAAGCAGCGCCGCUGCAGUUUGGUGGGUGUAAGGAGAGAUGUAACCCGCGGCGGGGUUUGAGUUUGUGCGUAGAUGCGGCGUCGCUUAUGAGCCUGAUUAUGUGAUAUUGGUGUACUAAGUUAGGUGUCAAAAACAGGUGGUGGACUUCCGGAUCGUACUUAGGGAUUUGCCCGAACUUCCGGUAAAGGCAAGUAAAUACAGUGGUGGUUGCUACCGUUUGGUUUGCAUCCUAUUCCCUGUCAUUGAGUAUGCAUAAGUUUUAAUUAUGUUAAUCAUUGAAUUCUAUGAUGAAGUUUAUUUGUUUGGAAGUAUUAAUUCUCAAUUGUCUAAUAUUGUGGAUGAUCAUAAUUUGGUAAUGAUAUAUGUGGUUGAUUCCCAUCUGGAUGAAGUUGAAGUGUCUUUUUGAAUCAUGUUAUACGAAGUGUUGUAGGCAUGACAUGCACAUCACAUCAUCCAUCUUGCAUUUUGAAGUUAUGUCGUGAUCUUAUGGUCCGACCGUACCGGUACAUUUUUAGCAUCGUACGUUGCCCGAGGAGGGGUACGAUGCGGCUUCAUAUCCUUAGAGGUAUGAAGGCAGAAGUCAUCCUUGCAUUUGCAGACAUUUGCACUCAUGAGGAAUAUAUGAAGUGUGACUUUACUAUGUUACUAUUGUGGUUUCUACCUGCGAGGUGUGGUAACUAGGUGCGUUGUACGUUGUAUACGUGCUGCACCUUCGUAAUAAGAAGGUUGUGGAAUCAAGUGGUGGUAAAACAAUGUUCUUAUGUGGUUAAACUGUUUGAUAUUAUUUUACUUGCUGAGAUGUGUCAUCUCACUCUUGCAUUACUCAAUGCAGGUACAUGAUACAUGUUGGGAAUGAGGGGAGUAGCAGCACGUCCACUUUCACUCUCACAAUAACGCUGCCCAGGCACAGCCAUGAUUUAAUUAGAAACAUAUUGUCAAAGGAAGUUUGUUUAUUUUUUUAUAUGGUCGUGCGCACUGGUUAAUUCAGUUCAGGUCGUAUGUUUAUCUUUCCUUGCUAGCCGAGUAAUAAUACUUAGUAUGUUUUAGUCAUGAUAUAUGUUUAUACUCUGUUGCUCCCUCUUUUAUGCAAUCUUGCAAAGGGGAUGCUGCCGAAAUUUUAUAUAUGGACGUCGGAAGUGUAGUACAGUAGCAUUCCGGGUUGUUUGUGGAACCUGGAGUGUUACAGUUGGUAUCAGAGGAUAGGCUUUAGAUUCUACGCAAUUUGAAGAUAAAUUUGACACACUUGCACAUAUAGGAAGGGUAUGGGUUCAUAUAUUUUUCAUAUUAGUAUUUUAUUGUAUAGAUGACUAGAAUUUCCUUACUCCAAACCCCUUUAUGGUUUGAUGAGGUAUGUCGUUAACGACGUAAUGCUUGAUAUGAAAUGUUACUUCUAUUUAAUAUUGGUUUCUUGAUGUGGUUGUUAUUGAAAUUAUUAUGCGAGUGAAGCUACUAAUGUACUUAUUUUAUAUACAUAUCGUCAUGAUGUUUUUUGGGAUGCAAUGUUUACUAAUCUCUGAGCUAUUACCAUCAUAUAUUUCUAUAUGCUUGACUGUGGAUGUUUUUUUCCAAAAGGAUUCUUGGGUUCUAGUACUUGUAGGACCGAUUGUUUAUUGAGCUUGUGUAUAGAGGAUCUAAUCCGACUUGGUGUAGUGUGAAAACACUAUACAAUGAAGUUUUAUGGUGUUGUUGAGUUUGACUGACUGUUGGGUUACAACCCAACUUAUCAAUGUAAUAAUUCCAUGGGUGCAGUGCUUUACACCUCACCUUUUUUUUCGGCUAGUGUGGCUACUUGCCAACUUGAUCUUAGAGUACAAUAGGUUUGUCUCCAUAGAGCAAAGGCAAUGUUGUACUGCCUAUGAAAUCUUGAGACUAGAAGAACUCAAGUGAAUUUGCAAGAUGACGUGGGUAGAUAAGUCCAACCAUGUUUACAUGAUAGGUUUUCUUAUUGUGUGCAACCUUAUCUUUAAUAAUAAAUAGGGUGAUUUCAAGUGGAUUUUAUGGCUAUAUUAUAGUUGAAGAGGCAUGCAUGUUUUCCUUCUAUGGUUUGUUUCUAUAGCCAAAAAGGUUAUGCAUAAUUUUUAUUUGUUGGAGGCUAGUCAUGCGGACGAUAUGGACAACCCGUUUUAUAUUGUUUUUAAUCGCCGAUGAUACAUGGUAGUUUUUUUAUAUGAUCAGUUCUCUAUGCAUGCUUGUGGAAUUAUUAUUUGGACCGCUUUAUCUUAAACAAAGUCAAUGUUUAACUGGAAGUUGCUUAUGUUUGUUAGUCAUCUAUCUCUAUAAUGAUGUGGUUGUUGCAUUAGAUGGAGAUUUUUAUUAUAUGAAUGAUGGUUUGAUAGAUCAUGUAUGUCUACUACUUUGAAUUCAUCCUAUGACAUCACUAGGUACAAAUUGUUCAAGUGCAAUAAUAGGAGGUAUUGUUGUAUGUGAGGUUAAUCAAAGUAGUUGGGUUAGGUGGAUUAUCUUAUUGAAGUCCAAUUACUCCUGUUGAGCAUAGUAUCGUGUUAUUAUUUUAGUGUUGAAAGUAAUAUUUAUGAAGCUUUUGCAUGAGUCUGUGUCAAGAAGUACAUUAGUUUUUUCUUGUUGUUAUCCCUCCAUUGCUUUAUGAGUAUUGCAAAUUUUAUCUCUUUUGAGAGGGGGAAAAGAUGUUAUAUGACAUGAGCACCAUUUGCUUCACGUCAACAGAAUAGUUUUGGAGAUUUCUAGUAGUUGGAUUCUAGUGUAAUAACAACCAUGUUUUAUAGAGCUGGAGACGGGUAUGUCAGGUGUUUCAUACAUUGUCGGUACAUGGAUGUUUGACCUUAGUGGCAUUAACAAACGAGGUUGUUGAAUUCAUUGAUUGUUGUGCUUAGUGUUCUAACCUAUUUGGUAGAGUGUUAUUUAACGACUUUGUGGAGUUGCAUCCCAGUUUGGUAGUGGAAAAUCCUAGUGUUGAUGGCACCUGCCAAUGACUUGGGUUUCAUUUUAUAUUGUUUUUUUAUUGUUGAUAAUGUGUUGUUUGGUUUCGGGAGGCAUUUUAAAUUAGUUGGAGGCUGAAUCAGGCUUCACUUAUCUAGAAUGUUUUGUAGUAUGUUUCUGCAUCUUUCCAUAUGAUGCUUAAUCACCAUGUUUGGUCUAAACAUUUGAGAGAUAUGGGUUUCUUAAAACAUCUUUGUUGGUGUCUCUAGCAGAGUGAGUCUUUAAUUUUGUACGGAAGAGUAGACAUUGAAGACAGUAUAAUUUGGUCUUCGUGGAUUAUGAAAGUUUUAGUAAUUUCAUGAUCUUUUCAAAGAGUAUGGGUUUCUAAUUCUCAUUGCAUAUAAUUGGAGUUAGGUUGCUCUGAAGUUGUUGCACUGUUGUGUCUGAACUUUAGGCGUCGUUAUAAUCACCAAUAAAUCGACCGCGUUUUGAUAGUUGCAGAGCACAAAUUUGCGAAUUCUCUUUAAGCAAAACUUGUAGGUAUUUUCAGUACCUUUUUAAUGGGUAUUUACUUGUAACUGUCUGUUAAAUAGAUUUGGAGAGGUGGUUGCCCGGAUAUAAGUCGAAUCUCUAAUGUGCAGUAUCUCAGGCUGAGUUUAGCUGUAGGUCAUGCAGAGUUGUGGGCUAUAAGGAUAAAUUUGGGUGCAACUUUAUUGCAAAAGUCGCGGACAAAUUUCAAAACUUUUCCAACGCGUGUUCGUUGUAGUUUAAGUUGAGUAUAGCAGGAGUUAUAGGUUUUUGAAUUUUAGCUGUCCAUUGUUUCAAUCUUAUCAGUUUUGAAACAAAAGAGUUGCAUUGUUUUAUCGGUUUGGAAACCAAUUCCGAGACACUCAUUAUAAUAAAAGUUCUAGGGAAUGUUAUAAUCUUUUCAGUGAGUUUAUAUUUGCAAAAUUUUGUUAGCUGCAGGGAGUUAUGAUAUCAUGUAUAGAAUGUGCUUGGAUGAAUAUGUGGGCAGACAUAACAUGCUUAAAUUGAUUCUUGUUUGCAUGAUGUGAGAUUAGGCUUAAAUGAUUUAAAAAGUUAUCAUAUUGCUUCUAUACUUAUAUUUGUUCUAGGUGUCUCGUAAUGAAGAACCUAAAGUUAUUAGUCUUUCAAUGAACGCUUAAUCUUAGAAGAGUAAUGAACCUGAUAAAAUCUAUUGCUUGCUAUUGGGACUGCAUGACCAGUUUUAGUUAUACAGCUAGUUCAGUGAAGUAAACCAUCUUUUCUGUAGAGAUGUUAUAUAUAAAAGUUGUAGCCAACUUCUUUAUCUUACUUGUGUAAAAAUUUCAUGAUCAUAGGUCUAGUAGUUUGGGAGUUAUGAUUUUCUCAAGUCUAGUCUUGAAAUCUGUGCAGAUUCUAUACAGAUUUCGAAGCUGACCUUGUUUGCCUAAUUUAAACUUCGAAUAACUUAUUAUAAAUUAUAAAUAAGUUGUAGUACUUUUCUUAAUCGUUACAACAAAUUUUGGAUUUUUUUGGAGAUCUAUAAGUUAAGUUACAGCUGUUUUAAGUGUGAUCUCUGAAUCUGUCCAAAUUUGGACAGCAGAGCCUUUCUCGUGUCUUUUGACCUUAAUAUGCAUUGAAUUAACUUGAUAUGUUUAUAAAUGAAUUAUAGACAAUUCUACUAGCUUUCUAAAAAGUCUGGGAGCACCUGAAUUGGAUGAUUGAGACUCCAAUUAUGGAUUUUUGAAUUGAGUAAUUGAAUUAUGUCCAAGUCUGGACAGAAUUUACGUUUAGCACUGUUUGACCUUUCUAAGUGUCAAAUCUUGUUGUGAUGAUAAUACCAAGGGUAUAGUGGACUUUAUAAGUUUUCCAUAAAGUCCUAGUUUACUAAUUUUCGAUGCAUAUUUUUGUGAGUUAGGAGCAAAACAAUUAACUGCUGUGCUGUUAUCUAGAAAUAUGCAAGCAUUAAGUUGCUCUCUUGAAGUUGCUCUUGUGUGGCUAAGUUUGGUUUAGCCUAUAGGAACAUUAUAUGCCUUGCAUUCAUAUAUACAUUCCUUGAAGUACUUGCAUAUGUCAAUGAUUGAUUUGGUGUCAGGAAAGCUUGGUCCGAGGUAUAUAGGACCGUCUGCUAUCUUGGCCGAGUUGGCAGCUGGGCUUAGCACAUGUAAUUGUCGGAAUCUGUGAUCAGAGUACACCAAGUAUUCCAUGUCUUUUUGUUGAGGAAGUAUUUGCCGAAUCCAGACCAUCAAAUCGAGCUAGAGCCGAUUCCUGUGUAGCAAGAGCAGACUCUAGAGUGUCGUCUGCUGCGUAUCUUAGAAUCCUAGGAGCUUGAGGAGCUGAUGCGGCAGAAGUACUCGAACUUUUCUUUAUGUGUGAGUUUUGUUGAUUCAUUAACCUUUCUUUUGUUGUUCCGAUAGAAGCGUCAGAAUUCGAGGUCGAAUUCUUUUUAAGAGGGGUAGAGUGUGAUACCCGGUUUGCAAAGAAGAGAAGUUGGGGGUUGUUCUUUUUGUUUUUUUCCCUCAUCCGGUUGUUGUUUUGGGGAUUUGGGAUUUUGUGGAAAACAUUCACAACUAGGGCAGUAGAAUUUAUUUGGUUUGACGCUUGCGUUGCAGUUGGGAGCUGUCGCGUAGGUUAGUUGGGCCGCAAUUGGAGUUUCGGCCCAUUAACCCUCCCAAACCCUAGCCGCCUCCCUUCUAACCCCCUCCCCCCAUGUGCAGCCGCCCCCUCCCCCACUUCUCUCCCCCCUUGGCCGCCGCCCCCCUGCCCAUCUCCUCCUCUCUCAAUUCUUGCAGCCACCAAACCCUAGCCGCCCCCCCCUCUCAAUCCCCUCCUCCCAAGGUGCCAAUCCUUGCCGCUCGGAUCAUCGUCGUCGUGGUGCGAGUCUUCAAUCGUUUUGGUGGAGGGAAGAAGGGAGGAAGGAAAGGGGGAGAAUCCAAGGUGAUUUUUGUGUUCAUCCCUUGUUCAUUUGCGCUGCAAUUUAAUUGAUUAAAGGUUGCGUUUGCGAUUGGGUAGAGGGGGCUGUCCAGAAUUUUAGGUGGUGGGUGAACAGCAGUAGUCUAGCAGUUUCUGUGUUUUUUUCGUGAGGAAUUAAGGGAAAUCAGUUUGGGGAUCAUGUAGAACUUUACCUUACCUUUCCAACGAGUAUUUAUGCGCCCAAUUUGGAGUUAUAAAUUGAAAGUUAUCACCGUUUGAAUCCGGGUAUGUGGCUGUCCAAAAAAACAGAUUUUCAGGGGGGAUGAACAGCAGCAGUAUUAGCAGUUUCUGGGGAUUUUUUCGGGAGUAAUUAGUGUUAAUCAGUAUGAGAAUCAUGUAGGGCUUUAUGUUAUCUUUCCAACAAGUACUUAUGCGCUCGAUUCGGAGUUAUAAUUCAGGAGAUAUCGUUGUUUGAAUCCGGUUAUGUUGCUGUCCAAAAAAACAGAUUUUUCAGGUGGGUGAACAGCAGUGGUAUUAGCAGUUUCUGGGGAUUUUUUCGGGAGUAAUUAGUGUUAAUAAGUAUGAGAAUCAUAUAGGGCUUUAUGUUAUCUUUCCAACAAGUACUUAUGCGCUCGAUUCGGAGUUAUAAUUCAGGAGAUAUCGUUGUUUGAAUCCGGUUAUGUUGCUGUCCAAAAAAACAGAUUUUUCAGGUGGGUGAACAGCAGUGGUAUUAGCAGUUUCUGGGGAUUUUUCGUGGGUAAUUAGUGUUAACCAGUAUGGUAAUCAUGUAGGGAUUUGUCUUAUCUUUCCAAUGAGUACUUAUGCGCUUGAUUUGGAAUUAUAUUUUAAAAGAUAUCGCUGUUUGAAUCUGGGUAUGUCGCUGUCCAAAAGACAAAGAAAAACAGAUUACAGGGUUCAUCUUGUGGACUGUUUUGGACUAAUUAGAUAUUGGAAUUUAAUUAUAAAUUGUAUACAAAACUUGUGGGGAAUUUUAUGUAGAUGCCUCUGGAGUUUUUGUUUGUUACCACUGCUGUCAUAAUUUUAAAGUUAUGAAAUUAUUAAGCAGCGCCGCUGCAGUUUGGUGGGUGUAAGGAGAGAUGUAACCCGCGGCGGGGUUUGAGUUUGUGCGUAGAUGCGGCGUCGCUUAUGAGCCUGAUUAUGUGAUAUUGGUGUACUAAGUUAGGUGUCAAAAACAGGUGGUGGACUUCCGGAUCGUACUUAGGGAUUUGCCCGAACUUCCGGUAAAGGCAAGUAAAUACAGUGGUGGUUGCUACCGUUUGGUUUGCAUCCUAUUCCCUGUCAUUGAGUAUGCAUAAGUUUUAAUUAUGUUAAUCAUUGAAUUCUAUGAUGAAGUUUAUUUGUUUGGAAGUAUUAAUUCUCAAUUGUCUAAUAUUGUGGAUGAUCAUAAUUUGGUAAUGAUAUAUGUGGUUGAUUCCCAUCUGGAUGAAGUUGAAGUGUCUUUUUGAAUCAUGUUAUACGAAGUGUUGUAGGCAUGACAUGCACAUCACAUCAUCCAUCUUGCAUUUUGAAGUUAUGUCGUGAUCUUAUGGUCCGACCGUACCGGUACAUUUUUAGCAUCGUACGUUGCCCGAGGAGGGGUACGAUGCGGCUUCAUAUCCUUAGAGGUAUGAAGGCAGAAGUCAUCCUUGCAUUUGCAGACAUUUGCACUCAUGAGGAAUAUAUGAAGUGUGACUUUACUAUGUUACUAUUGUGGUUUCUACCUGCGAGGUGUGGUAACUAGGUGCGUUGUACGUUGUAUACGUGCUGCACCUUCGUAAUAAGAAGGUUGUGGAAUCAAGUGGUGGUAAAACAAUGUUCUUAUGUGGUUAAACUGUUUGAUAUUAUUUUACUUGCUGAGAUGUGUCAUCUCACUCUUGCAUUACUCAAUGCAGGUACAUGAUACAUGUUGGGAAUGAGGGGAGUAGCAGCACGUCCACUUUCACUCUCACAAUAACGCUGCCCAGGCACAGCCAUGAUUUAAUUAGAAACAUAUUGUCAAAGGAAGUUUGUUUAUUUUUUUAUAUGGUCGUGCGCACUGGUUAAUUCAGUUCAGGUCGUAUGUUUAUCUUUCCUUGCUAGCCGAGUAAUAAUACUUAGUAUGUUUUAGUCAUGAUAUAUGUUUAUACUCUGUUGCUCCCUCUUUUAUGCAAUCUUGCAAAGGGGAUGCUGCCGAAAUUUUAUAUAUGGACGUCGGAAGUGUAGUACAGUAGCAUUCCGGGUUGUUUGUGGAACCUGGAGUGUUACAAGGAUACAAAGAAUAUAAAGGGUAGAAAUUAUGAUUAAGCAAGAUUUGAACACACUAUCAUGAAAAGGGUCCUUAUAUGGCACAAAGGUAAUGGAGAAGUGUCAUAAGUGAUGUACCUUUGCGUUUUACCUUUUCAAAGGGGUGUU